AUUGAACGCUGGCGGCAGGCCUAACACAUGCCAGUCGAACGGUAACAGGAAGCAGCUUGCUGCUUUGCUGACGAGUGGCGGACGGGUGAGUAAUGUCUGGGAAACUGCCCGAUGGAGGGGGAUAACUACUGGAAACGGUAGCUAAUACCGCAUAACGUCGCAAGACUAAAGAGGGGGACCUUAGGGCCUCUUGCCAUCGGAUGUGCCCAGAUGGGAUUAGCUAGUAGGUGGGGUAACGGCUCACCUAGGCGACGAUCCCUAGCUGGUCUGAGAGGAUGACCAGCCACACUGGAACUGAGACACGGUCCAGACUCCUACGGGAGGCAGCAGUGGGGAAUAUUGCACAAUGGGCGCAAGCCUGAUGCAGCCAUGCCGCGUGUAUGAAGAAGGCCUUCGGGUUGUAAAGUACUUUCAGCGGGGAGGAAGGGAGUAAAGUUAAUACCUUUGCUCAUUGACGUUACCCGCAGAAGAAGCACCGGCUAACUCCGUG
rnacentral:rRNA from 1 species